ACCAUCACUGAGUUCUGUUUGUUCAUGAUUUGAUAUUUCUCAGAGGCUUAGUGCUUAUUUCUGUUCCCAUUUUUCUUUCUUUAUGAGAAAUUGGUGAUAGAGUAGAAGUUGAUGAGGCAAUCGCUCAAGUUGAAACAGAUAAGGUGACAAUUGAUGUUUACCAGUCCUGAAGCUGGUGUAAUCCAAAAGUUCGUAGCCAAGGAGAAGGAUAUACUAUGGAGCCAGGCACCAAGGUUGGUGUCAUUACAAAAUCUGUUGAAGGUGUGGAUGAUGUUGCUCCACCUGAGCAAGCUGCUCCACAUCUAUCACCUCCUGUUGAUGAACAGAAAGAGAAACCAAAGCCUAAAGUUAAAGCUUCCCCUGUCGAAGAAAGGCCAAAGGAAAUUUCCACUAAGCCCCCUAAACACAGUGCUACAGAACCUCAGCUUCCCCCUAAAGAAAGAGAAAGAAGAGUGAGUCUUGCAGAUUUUUUUUUACCCCCAAAUAUUCCAAUUCUAUGGAUGGCAAGUUCCAAUGACCAGGUUUAGAAAAAGAGUUGCCGCACGUUUGAAAGACUCACAAAACACAUUUGCAUUGUUGACUACUUUCAAUGAAGUUGGACAAAUUUGACUUGACCGAUCUGCUUAUUUGCAGGACAAAUUUGAUGAAACUCUAUUUUGAUUACACAUUUACACGGAUGCCUUGGUAAAAAAGCAUGGAGUGAAGCUAGACAUAGUGAAGCGAGGUGUAAUGUCUGGGGUUGUUAAAGCACAUACACCCAUUAUCAAUUCCCCUCAGGUGUG